GAUGAACGCUGGCGGCGUGCCUAAUACAUGCAAGUCGAGCGAACGGACGAGAAGCUUGCUUCUCUGAUGUUAGCGGCGGACGGGUGAGUAACACGUGGGUAACCUACCUAUAAGACUGGGAUAACUUCGGGAAACCGUAGCUAAUACCGGAUAAUAUUUUGAACCGCAUGGUUCAAAAGUGAAAGACGGUCUUGCUGUCACUUAUAGAUGGAUCCGCGCUGCAUUAGCUAGUUGGUAAGGUAACGGCUUACCAAGGCAACGAUGCAUAGCCGACCUGAGAGGGUGAUCGGCCACACGGGAACUGAGACACGGUCCAGACUCCUACGGGAGGCAGCAGUAGGGAAUCUUCCGCAAUGGGCGAAAGCCUGACGGAGCAACGCCGCGUGAGUGAUGAAGGUCUUCGGAUCGUAAAACUCUGUUAUUAGGGAAGAACAUAUGUGUAAGUAACUGUGCACAUCUUGACGGUACCUAAUCAGGAAGCCACGGCUAACUACGUG
rnacentral:rRNA from 1 species